rnacentral:lncRNA from 13 species
UAACUCCAGCUACUCAGGAAAGCUGAGACAAGAGAAUUGCUUGAACCUGGGAGGCGGAAGUUGCAGUGAGCCGAGAUUGCACCACUGCACUCCAGCCUGGGCGGCAGAGCCAGACUUCCUCUCAAUAAAGGAAGAGGCAGGGUAGGGGCGUAGGCGGCGUGUAGGGGCAGAGGCGGGGUGUAGGGGCGGAGGCGGGGUGUAGGGGCGGAGGCGGGGUGUAGGGGCGGAGGCGGGGUGUAGGGGCGUAGGCGGAAGCCGGAAGCCGAGGAGAGGCGUACGGGCGUAAGCGUGGGAGACGUAGUGGAGGCAGAGGCGAGAUCCAAGUCAUUUGAUGAAUCAGCCUUGGCAGAAAGACUUACAGAUGAAGGAAAAAGGAGAUACCUGACAAAGAUGAGGAAGAAAAGUUUCAAAUGCUCAGCGUUCAUCAGUACAAUAUAUGCAGUUUUCCAAUUUAUAUGUUAGCAUAUUCUCUAACAGGAUUACGUGUUUUAUGAACACACCAGAACAAAUUCUGUUGGAGUUUUAAAACUGAAAAUUAUAGCCUAAUGUAGAUUUUUAUUUGGGUCAUUUUCCAUAAUUGUUCAUUUUAAAAUUCCAAAAGGAGUUGCUUUCUAAUUGUAG